rnacentral:sRNA from 1 species
GGAAGGAUCAUUACAGAAUCGUCAACGGGUUGUUGCUGGUCCUCGAACGGGGACAUGUGCACGCUCUGUUUACACAUCCACUCACACCUGUGCACCCUCCGUAGUUCUGUGGUCUGGGGGACCCUGUCUUCCUGCCGUGGUUCUACGUCUUUACACACACACUGUAAUAAAGUCUUAUGGAAUGUAUGCCGCGUCUAACGCAAUACAAUACAACUUUCAGCAACGGAUCUCUUGGCUCUCGCAUCGAUGAAGAACGCAGCGAAAUGCGAUAAGUAAUGUGAAUUGCAGAAUUCAGUGAAUCAUCGAAUCUUUGAACGCACCUUGCGCCCCUUGGCUAUUCCGAGGGGCAUGCCUGUUUGAGUAUCAUGAACACCUCAACUCUCAUGGUUCGCCGUGAUGAGCUUGGACUCUGGGGGUUUUGCUGGCCUGCGGUCGGCUCCCCUCAAAUGAAUCAGCCUCCCAGUGUUUGGUGGCAUCACGGGUGUGAUAAAUAUCUACGCUCGCGGUUGUCUGCCAGGUAACCUUUGGCGACAAAGGUUCGCUGGAGCUCACAGAUGUCUCUCCUCGGCGAGGACAGCUUUUUGAACGUUCGAUCUCAAAUCAGGUAGGACUACCCGCUGAACUUAAGCAUAUCAAUAAGCGGAGGAAAAGAAACUAACAAGGAUUCCCCUAGUAACUGCGAGUGAAGCGGGAAGAGCUCAAAUUUAAAAUCUGGCGUGCCU